rfam:Dictyostelium discoideum AX4 chromosome 5, whole genome shotgun sequence.
UGAAUGAUGAUUGGUUGCACAUUAUCUGAUCGUCUGUUGAGCUCGCGUUCAUUCGUAGGCUUUGAAAUUAACCGUCCGUGUUCGCACAAAUCUGACCA